rnacentral:lncRNA from 1 species
AGAACCCCACCUGACCCACCCACACUGGGGGCUCUGUUCCCACAGCUCUUCAUGAUCUCACGCCUUCUAAAACCUCGCUCAGCUGAUGAAGCUAUUCAUUGAAUCAAUGAAUAUUUACUGAGUACCUACUCUGUGCCAGGCAGUAUUCCAGGGCUUGGAGAGACAUUGCUGAACAAGACAGAUGAGGGCCCUGUCUUCAUGGAGCUCACAGUCUAGUGGGGAAGGCACAGAAUCAAGAAGUGAAUAAGUAACUAAAAACUAAUCACAAAUUGUGGCAAGUGCUGAAGAGGAAAGAAACAGGAUACUCAGCGUUGUGAGUGGAGCAUCUACUUGGAGGGUCUUGGAGGCCCCCCACGUUUAACAGACAGGCCUCCCGUGGGUUGGCGGGCAGUCGGUGGCCAUCUCUUGGGCCUGCAGAUCAUGUUCUAUAUGAACAUCUGCAACCUCAGAGCAGCCGUCUUCCUACCCCGAGUCCCCCUACAUGCUAUCUUUGGAAAGAUAAUGAGUAUCUAUCACAGUCACUGUUUUUCAGCGCUUACUAUGUGCCAGGCAUCUCACUAAGCAAUGGAUGGUCAUGACAUCAUUUCAUCUGCAGAACAAUAAUAACAUUAUGAAGUAGGUGUUCCUAAUCCCCAUUUUACAGACAAGGAAAUGGAGACCUGGAACGUUUGAGCCAUUUGGCCAAGUCACAUGGUCUCCGAAAUGCAGCCCAGAGAGGGGAAGCAGCGAUGGCCUGCUGCAGGAGCCUCCUCACUCAGGGACCCUAGGACAGUCCUCUUUGGCUCCCCCAACCUGUAGGUCUCUGUAGAACCCAGAGAGACCAUGGACUCUACCUCCCUCAUGGCCCCCCAGACCCCUGCAGUCUCAAGAGGGUCCCUCCAAGGGCCCCCCAAGUGUUCCUGCCUGCCCUCCACCUUCUGCACCUGCAGCCAGGACACACUCCCCUGUGCUGGGGGGGCAGCCAGAGGCAGACAGAACCGGAGCCCGGGUCUGCGAUGAGCCUGCGGCAGAGCCUCCAGGCCCAUGUUCAAAGGAUGACAUAACUCCCGACUCUUGAUCACCUCUGUGUGUGGAGAGCAAGUCAGGCCUCUCUCCAGCCUCACCCAGGAGUCCCAGAGAGCAGGCUGAGGGCUGGCAGCUGCUGCCCUCAGGGCAGACUCCCGCAGAGCCCCAGUCCUAACCCCGCUUACAGACCAGAUUGUCACUGCUUGCUGAGUCCUCGCUGUGCCCCCGCACUGUGCGCUCCAUGUGCAGGCCCAAGCGAGCAACCCGAUGAAGAGCAUUAUCAACCCCAUUUUACAGAUGAUGGAACUGAGGCUCAGAGAUGUGAUGUCCCUUGUCCAAGGCCACCAGUUAAUAAUUGGGAUUCCGGCCUAGGUCUAUGGACUGUAAACGUGGUGACUGCAAGGUUGCAUAUGUCAGGCAAGGUCCUACCAAAUCCCUUUGCUGCCCCAACUGUGCCCCUACCCACCCCAGGCUUCAAACCAUGUUGAGGGCAGGCCACGCCCAGUGCCUCCAAUGCUCUGAGGAGCUCUGGCAUCUCCAUGGCAACAGGAUCCUGAGCAGCCAGAGCUGAGCUUGCUCUGCGUCUGAGGAGUGGAGGUGGCCUCUGCCUGAAGAGCCCCCCAGGUGUCCCAGGCUCUGACCAAGUGUGACUCAGGGCUACCCCAGGCACCCCUCAGCCUCACAAAGCCCCCCUCCCUUCCCAGACAGACAGAGCACUUCUCCCUCACAGAGCUCUGACAGAAGCAGCCCCAGCCUCCUGGCCUCCUUCACAUAGCUGGUCUGCCAUCUAACCUCCAUGCCUCUUGCUGCGGCUCCAGUCCUUGUCCCUGAGGAAUUCCCCUCCCCCUCCUCCCUUAGCUGCCAUCUGGAGGAGGCAAAGUGGACAUGUGGACUCAGCCCUGGUGACGCCCUGAGGGCCUCCUGUCAAGGUGGCCAUAAUGUCACAAAGACCCCCCUCCUGUAGUGGAAGGGCACCUUUGUCUUUCUGCCACCCCAUUCAUUCAUUCACUCACUCAAUCACUCAGUAACUACUUACUGAGUGUCC